rnacentral:rRNA from 1 species
GACGAACGCUGGCGGCGUGCUUAACACAUGCAAGUCGAGCGGUAAGGCCCUUUCGGGGGUACACGAGCGGCGAACGGGUGAGUAACACGUGGGUGACCUGCCCUUAGCUCUGGGAUAAGCCUGGGAAACUGGGUCUAAUACCGGAUAUGACUCCAUAGCGCAUGUUGUGGGGUGGAAAGCCUUGUGCGGCUAGGGAUGGGCCCGCGGCCUAUCAGCUUGUUGGUGGGGUGAUGGCCUACCAAGGCGACGACGGGUAGCCGGCCUGAGAGGGCGACCGGCCACACUGGGACUGAGACACGGCCCAGACUCCUACGGGAGGCAGCA